GAUGAACGCUGGCGGCGUGCCUAAUACAUGCAAGUCGAGCGAACAGACGAGGAGCUUGCUCCUCUGACGUUAGCGGCGGACGGGUGAGUAACACGUGGAUAACCUACCUAUAAGACUGGGAUAACUUCGGGAAACCGGAGCUAAUACCGGAUAAUAUAUUGAACCGCAUGGUUCAAUAGUGAAAGACGGUUUUGCUGUCACUUAUAGAUGGAUCCGCGCCGCAUUAGCUAGUUGGUAAGGUAACGGCUUACCAAGGCGACGAUGCGUAGCCGACCUGAGAGGGUGAUCGGCCACACUGGAACUGAGACACGGUCCAGACUCCUACGGGAGGCAGCAGUAGGGAAUCUUCCGCAAUGGGCGAAAGCUUGACGGAGCAACGCCGCGUGAGUGAUGAAGGUCUUCGGAUCGUAAAACUCUGUUAUUAGGGAAGAACAAAUGUGUAAGUAACUAUGCACGUCUUGACGGUACCUAAUCAGAAAGCCACGGCUAACUCCGUG
rnacentral:rRNA from 1 species